UUAGAGUUUGAUUCCUGGCUCAGGACGAACGCUGGCGGCGUGCUUAACACAUGCAAGUCGAACGGAAAGGCCCUUCGGGGUGCUCGAGUGGCGAACGGGUGAGUAACACGUGGGUGAUCUGCCCUGCACUUUGGGAUAAGCCUGGGAAACUGGGUCUAAUACCGAAUAGGACCACGGCAUUCAUGUGCUGUGGUGGAAAGCUUUUGCGGUGUGGGAUGGGCCCGCGGCCUAUCAGCUUGUUGGUGGGGUAAUGGCCUACCAAGGCGACGACGGGUAGCCGGCCUGAGAGGGUGACCGGCCACACUGGGACUGAGAUACGGCCCAGACUCCUACGGGAGGCAGCAGUGGGGAAUAUUGCACAAUGGGCGCAAGCCUGAUGCAGCGACGCCGCGUGAGGGAUGACGGCCUUCGGGUUGUAAACCUCUUUCAGUACCGACGAAGCGCGAGUGACGGUAGUACAGAAGAAGACCGCCAACAC
rnacentral:rRNA from 1 species